GCCCACCAUGACAAUUCCCCUUCUAAUUUCUCCGUCGAAAGAUGAUCACACAAUCUUCGAACAAUAGUUACGCAGCGCGUAACUAGACUACCGAACCCCAAAAGCAUUGUAACUACCGAAGCUACAUCAAAAUGUUCUUUGAAGCAGGCGAUCAAUGCAUCUGAUCAUUGGGCUCAAAUUUGAUGCUUAAAGAUGUAGGCGCUAGAUCCAUUGUCGAAUCUUGAAAGGAAGGCGAACACACCUUAUCUAAAUGAAGCGUAUUCCUGACGAACCCCUCGGCAGAGUUUGAUCUGACGCUUUGCACAAAUGAAAAAGAAAGAAUAG
rnacentral:sRNA from 2 species